UGGGACCCUCAAAAUCCCCACCACCUCUAGCACAAACUCAGAACCCAGCGACCCAUCCAUUAAAAAGAAGCGUAAAAGACCAGCUAAUAGCGAGUACAUUGACAUAAGUGACGCCGCCGUUUCAGUCUCCGCGCCUCUUGCCCCUAUAAUAACACAACCACAAACACCACCACCACCACCACAACCCCCUCAACAAGCAGCAACCGCAGUAGUUCCUCAGGGUUUAGUUCCCAUGUGGGCCAUACCGUCUAACGCCGUGGUUCCUGGCGCGUUCUUCAUGGUACCGCCCAUGGCGGCAUCCAUUGCGGGACCUCCGAACCAGCCCCAAAUAUUCACGUUCCCUGCUGCGGCUACGCCUCUAAUCAACAUAUCGGCGAGGCCGAUAUCGUCUUUCGUAUCGUCCAUGCAACAAGCUGCCAAUAUAGCAGUAACUAUGCCCGUUUCGAGUUCUCCUGUUUCUGAUUCAAAGCCUGCGAAAG
rnacentral:misc_RNA from 1 species